CAGUAGCAGCGAUUGUGUAGUGGUUCUGUUAUUGGUGUGUGUUUGGGAGAAGCUGCUGUGACUUUCUUUAGAUUAUGGUAUAAAGCCUGAGUCUUAACUCACCUGCCUUGAAUUCGCUGUGACCUCAGCAGCGUGUAAUAAUGCCCAGAUGGGAGCCUGUUCCUUGGAAGCUCCAGAAUGGCACAGAAUUUUCCGUGGCUGCACCUUCCUGGUCUCUUUCUUCGUCGCUGCUGUGGCUGUGCUGAGCAGGUCACUGGGAAGCAGCAGUUCUGUGUUAACUUCUUCAGGAGCUUAGAAAGACCAUCCUCUUGCUUCAGAGAAAAAUGCCCUUGAUGAAGUUGGGUGAUUACUUCCCAUCAAGAGAAUGAAUUUGUGCCCACACUCAACAGAUUUCUCCAGCUGGUUAGAAUACCGUUCCAUACAUUCUAGAGAGCUGAAUGAACAAUACAGACUAAUUCAGUUUUUAAUUGCUUAGUCACCUGGCAAAGAAGCAUGAAGAAAUGCUGCUAUUAGUUUCUUAACAACAGGUUAAAGGGUUGAUGAUUGUUCUGAUCAUAUUCAAAUGAAACAAGUAAAAAAGACCCGCUAUUUUAGAAACUUGCAUGUACUUCAUUAUUUAACAACAGGAAAAAAAGUGGAAAAGAUGUAUGGUUUCUGAGUUUGUCUCAUCCUUUCUCAGCUGCAUCUUCCUAUAGGCAUGCCACAGGAAAGUGCACAUAUCUCACAUGGCACAUUAAAACUGAUGGGAUGAAAAAAAUAAAGAUUGAUAUUGAAUGGUCAGGAUCAUAACUGACCCUUCAAUUCUGCUUUGCUUUUAUGUUUAUUGGUACUACAUAAAUCUUGUUCCAUUUCUUUUUAUUAGUUUAAUGCUUUCCACAUUUCCAUUUCCAUUAAAACCACAUUCAGAGCUAUUAGUGGGAUGUUAUUACCCAGUACUGUAUCAAUUAAUGGAGCCAACAUGCAAAGAAGAGGAUGUAAGUCAAUCCUACAUGUGAGACAGUGGCCUUGUAGACUUAUUUUCUUAUUUGCUAAAGCCUUCACAGAGGAGCGAUUUCUUAUGAUGAGCUGAAGUGAUUGAGAAAGAGAAAAUACAUAUUUAGCAGAAUCCUUCAGCUUCGGAAAAGGACCAAUCCCCAUGUUCUUUAUCUUAAUGGACGUUGAAUCAGAUUUUUGUGAUGCAUUCUGGUUUUUACUGUUUUGCCUCCAGGCUUAUUUGACUGCCAACCAAAUAUUGAAGACUUCUAGCAGAUAGUUUGAAGUAAAUUUAGUAUUUUAGAACAGUAGAUAUUUCAGCUUUAAGGGAUUAGGUGGAACAGCUAAUGAAUAUGAAUCAUGAUUAUUCAGUAAGUGGGGCUCAUGACAUUAUUUAGAAAAAUGUAUGCAUGUAUGAUGAAUUUCAAAUCUGAAUAAACAAAUGCUUGGAAAGCUGGGAAAAUAAAGGAAAGAGAAGUGAUUUGCUCAAGAAAUACAAGUGAUAUCCAGAGGUUCAAUGAGCAGUCACUGUUCUUCUGACUGAUACUUUCUUGUGGAUGUUUGCAUCUCUGCCUGUGAAGGCACCAUGUUAUUUAUGCCCAGAAAUUCUGAACUUUCCAAUAUGACUUUAUUUUCCAAUAUAUGCAACUUUGGCUCAAAGGAGAAUUAAACAACUGCCAAUAAACCAAAACUUUUACUUCUGCUACGAACUGAAUAUGAAAGAGCAAAACAAUCUGAGUCAGUGUGUGAAACCAUACUGCUUAUGGCUGUGAUGUCCAUACUUGUCCUUAAAUACGGGGUGAUACUAUUAUCAGUGGAUGUGUAUUAAAGUUUGUUUUUUACUUUGUCCUGAGGUAGAAUUAUUUGAGAUAUAACAGAUGAGUGGUUAUAAGAGUGUUGUGAUUGAAGACCGUAUCUGUUUCCAUUCCUUCUUCAAUAACGUGUUUUUAUUGUUAAAACAAAAGGAGUAGGAGUGAUAAUCUUCUUCCUAUCAGCUCAUAUAAGAGGUGUUUUAAGUAAUAUAGUGAAGAUCUGUUAUUUGCCUGACUUUGGAUCUAAUGAAGAGCUACCGUAUAGUCCAGUGUAACUUUUUGUAGCAUAUUGGCACUAACGCUUCAUAAAAUCUGUUGCAAAUCCCCACCAACCUUUUAAAAUAGAAUUACUUUCAGAUCUGAUAAAAUUCUGUGUUAAGAACUAGAAUUCAGUGUGUUUUGCUUUAAUGUUGUUGAUAGAAAUGAACUCAGAAUGAUUAAUGCUUUCUUACAUUUGCAUGCUCAUUCAUCUGUCUCUGUUUCUAAUAGGUGGGUCUCUGCCUUGUGAGGGUUAUUUUAAGAAACACAAGGCCAAGAUAUUUUACAGAGGUGGGCUGGGCGAAGCAUGGAUCAAUAGUGCACGUUCAGGUAACUUCUGUGCAAGUGAAUUUUGGCCUUGUUCAGAACAGCUCCUGGCUGAGCAAAGCAGCAUGCCAGUAUCCAUCGGUAUUACACUUCACAUCCCCUCAGAGAGCCGGCAUCUGCGUGGCCUCCAUCCUAAUAGUUGUGUGCUGAAUGUGAGAUAAGGUCUCGUGUCCACCAGGAGAUGAAUGAGAGCUGUUUAACUUCAGACAUUUCUAAAUAAUCUAAUGAUUUCCUUUUACUAUGCACAGGAUUGGAUUUGGUUCAGGCCACAGAGCUAGCUCAGCAUUCUGCAUUUAAUACCUGUUUUUUCUUCCUAUGUCUUUCACAUGCAAGUGAGAGGGCCGAGACUUUGUUAUUUACUGAGCUGCACUGCCAGAUUUCAGACUUAUGGCAAGACAUCAUCCAAAAUAGGCAAAAAGUUUUGAUGCAAUAGAUAAGUACUGUGAUAGCACACACAACAUGCAGAGAAAACAACAAAAAUCCCUCCUGCUCGUACCUGUUCUCCUAUAAACUAAGAAUAACUGUAAUGAGUCCACUGGAAUCCUAUCAGUGUAAAGUUAGUGUAAGGAGGAGGAGAAUCAGCUUAUAUGAUCUCAGUGCCUGUUAGUAUUAUGAUUAAAUGCUGGAUAUAUUCCAGCUAUUAGCUUAGGAGUGAUGCAAGUCAGGGUUCAGCAACGAUCAACUGAUGUUCUCUAUAGGAAAAAUCUACAAAUAAUGAACAUUUUUUUUUUUCCUCAUUUUCUGUUUGUUGUUUCUGUGCUUUGCUAGAAGAUUAAACUUUCUCUGUUUAUCUAAGUGUGUAUCUAAGUAUUUCUCAAUGUCAAGCUUUCGCGAUUAUACUGUUAUCCUUCAGCAUGAGUGAAGUAGCAUAUUUUCAUUAAUUAUUUUGCCACAUACAUGUUUUCUUCUUGUAUUGAAACAUCAUAUUUUUUAAUUUUAAGAAAAUGAAUUGAUUUAUUUUCUCCCUGGUUUGUUACAAGUUCUAAGGCUUCAGCUUUUAUAAUGUGACAAAGCACCCUGCUCCAAAACACUCAGAGUGUGUUAAAGACUACUAUGGGGAGACAAAGGAUUACUGUCAAGCUUCAGUUGAUUUCAUCUUGGAUGGUCCACAGAGAUGAACACCUGGAAUAUUUCUUAAACAAAUGCAUGUGGAUGUAGUCAACUUGGCAGUCAUGUAGAGAACAUACUGCAUGUAAUAAAGAAAGCACAUAAUUUAACAUUUUAUGUGAUAUCCAUUUACAAGAUGACAUUACUGGUAAUAAAAGAAAGCCAUUCCUGUUAAAUAAAAAACUAUAUACGUACAGAUACAUUUCUAACCUGGUCAUAUGUCUGUGUGUACAGAUGAAGAUAACCAAAUGUUCUGUAACCAACAGUUAAUUCAAAGCAUGAAUAACCUAAGUUCAGUGCAUGGCACCAAGUAAAAAGAGCAACAAGUCAUUAUUUUUCUUUCCAGAAUAUAGAUAGGAGACACUGAGUUGACAGAAGCAUCCUGCAAGAAUCAAUGAAAGAGAAUUUAAGGUUAACGUUGAUUUACAUUUUCAUGCUCAUUGUCUCUUCAGCCUAAGGACAUUUAGAAAUUGGAAUAAGCUCUGAUUUUCAGCAUCCUCUUUUUUUGCUUAUUUCUGUUGCAAAUGCAGCUUUAUUUCAAUGAUGUAUCACAUACUAUGGGUAGCAUGGAUGAAAAAUACAGUUUUUUUCUAAAUCAUUGCUUGCCUUUUAGGUGCGAGCUCAAAUGUCUUUCUGAUAUCCUGACCCUGAGCUUAUUACUUAGAUCUGCAACAUUUACAAGCCAGGGCAGCCUAAAUCUCUGUCUUACCCCCUCCCAUGGUGGGAUCUGAAUGGAGAAAUAGGUUCAGAAAACUACAAGCCUUGCAGGAUGAUGGAAAACAAACUGCACUAUAAAGAAGAUUAAAGAUUUUCACUGGAAGGCUGGUGUCUAAAAACCAGGUCUGAACCUAUUGGAUCACUUUAUUUAAGCCACUGAACUG